rnacentral:rRNA from 2 species
CCACCGAAUACAUUAGCAUGGGAUAAUGGAAUAGGACCCUGUCCUCCUAUUUUCAGUUGGUUUUGGCAGCGCGAGGACUAGGGUAAUGAUUAAUAGGGAUAGUUGGGGGCAUUAAUAUUUAAUUGUCAGAGGUGAAAUUCUUGGAUUUAUGAAAGAUUAACUUCUGCGAAAGCAUCUGCCAAGGAUGUUUUCAUUAAUCAAGAACGAAAGUUAGGGGAUCGAAGACGAUCAGAUACCGUCGUAGUCUUAACCAUAAACGAUGCCGACCAGCGAUUAGGAGACGUUGAAUACAAAACACCACCAUCGGUGCGGUCGUCCUUGGCGUCGGUCUUUCGGGGCCGGCGCGGGGACGGCUUAGCCCGGUGGCACCGGUGAAUGACUCCCUAGCA